rnacentral:rRNA from 1 species
AAAGGCGCUUUCGGGUGUCGCUGAUGGAUGGACCCGCGGUGCAUUAGCUAGUUGGUGAGGUAACGGCUCACCAAGGCCACGAUGCAUAGCCGACCUGAGAGGGUGAUCGGCCACAUUGGGACUGAGACACGGCCCAAACUCCUACGGGAGGCAGCAGUAGGGAAUCUUCGGCAAUGGACGAAAGUCUGACCGAGCAACGCCGCGUGAGUGAAGAAGGUUUUCGGAUCGUAAAACUCUGUUGUUAGAGAAGAACAAGGAUGAGAGUAACUGUUCAUCCCUUGACGGUAUCUAACCAGAAAGCCACGGCUAACUACGUGCCAGCAGCCGCGGUAAUACGUAGGUGGCAAGCGUUGUCCGGAUUUAUUGGGCGUAAAGCGAGCGCA